rnacentral:rRNA from 1 species
GUCCUGGCCCUAAACGAUGGGUACUAGGUAGUAGCCCAGGCAUGGGGUUACUGCCGGAGCGAAAGUGCUAAGUACCCCGCCUGGGGAGUAUGGUCGCAAGGCUGAAACUCAAAGGAAUUGACGGGGGCUCACACAAGCGGUGGAGCAUGUGGCUUAAUUCGAGGCUACGCGAAGAACCUUAUCCCGGACUUGACAUGUGCGAAAGCGUUGGGAGGUACCCGCCCGAAAGGUGCGGGGAACGGUAUCCAAUCCGGAACCCAGCACAGGUGCUGCAUGGCUGUCGU